rnacentral:lncRNA from 1 species
GAUAAUUUAUUUUCCCUCUUCAUAAUCCUAAAUUCUAGUUCCUGGGUACAUUAAUACAUCCCAACACCUAACAACAAACUGCCCUUGUUUUGAAACAGACUGAUGCUGCUGUUUUAGGGAUAUAAAGUCUUGGUUCAAAACAUUUUCAGGCAAAAAAUUGUAAAACCAUUCAGUUGAACAGAUGUGCUUUAGUACUGAUGAUGUAGAGAUGCAAAGGUGAGAGCAACAUCAUCUUUGCCAUCGGGAAGCAUCCACUCUAAAUGUUUUAGUCACAGGGCUGUGUGUUCACACCAUGAAUUGUGAGAUCCCCAUGUUUACAAAGGAAAAUUCUUCCUAUGAGUCUCCCUGUUGCUAGGUAUCUUACUUUCUUGUCUCUGGGACAAUAUACCUGACAUCCACAACUUAAAAGAGGAAAGGCUUGUUUUGGCUCACAGUUCUUUCAUAGAGGUUUCAGUCCAUGGUUGGCUGCCUCCGAGGCAGAAGAGCAUGGCAGAGGAGAACAGCACAUGACAUGGAAGAAGGAAGCAAAGCGAUCAGGGGAGGAGGGAGGGAGACAGACUUGCCAGGCAGUGCCUCCAGUGACCCACCUCUUCCAACCAGGCUUCACAUCCCAAGUCAUCAGAGGAGCAACCCACCAAUAAGUAUCAUGCCCCUAGGGUCCAUUCACAUCCCCAAAGCCCCACAUAUGAGCACAUGAGGCUUUGAGAGUAUAAACCAUAGCACUAGGUUGUUUUUUUUUUUUUUUUAAAUAAAUCCUCCCAUUAUCAUGACUUCAUUUGGUUUAUUGUGGUGUUUUAUCUUUUUUCUUUUCCUUCUUCCCAGUGUUGAAAAAGAAGAGUUCUAUUAAUGCCCAGCAUUUAUCCAGUGGCAGUGUAUGUACAAUACCCUAAUCAGGAACCCAGAGCCUUAAGAAAAUUUCAUUUCUAGAGCAACAAGAUUGGAGUUCAUUACGUCCAGACUUGAUCUCUGUCCCUUUUAUGGACCCAAAACCGAUGAAGCUGAAACAUCCCAGGACACCACAGCAAUCACACGGGAUGGCCAGGAUGUCUUCAGUUACCCAGAGAAACAUCUGUCAGACACCGCGUGACCUUCUAGCUGGAGAAACUGUAAAGUUUUAACAUGAGAAUGAUGGUCAGUGUUCCCAGAUGAAACCUUAAUCAUGUACAACACCUAGGAAAGAUGUCGGCAAAGAAACAGUUCUAAUCUAAAUCAGGUCUCGGCCCAAGGAGGAAGAAGGCUCUUUAAAGGACAUUUCUCUUUCCGACAUCAUUGGGCCACAGUCUGUGGCAACCAAGUGUGCUGUGUGGCUCAUUCUGGAGACACACAGCUCUGUGUCAGAGGAAUGUGCACAAUGUAUGGCCUUCAAAUGUCACUGUGCUCCAUGGGGUCGUUCUGGCUCUGAGACCUAACAAAUGAUUAUAAAUGUAUUAUAAUCUUUGUGUCUUCACUUAACUGUAACUGGCAAAGCAUGCUAUUUUGUUCCUCAGACCUAUUACUAAGGCCUGUUAUUAACAAAUUUGGCCUUUAAAUUUCCUCCACAAUUUAUAUCAAAAUAGCAAUGGUCACCUGCAAU